GAACGCGAAGAACCUUACCAGGUCUUGACAUCCCACGAAUCCAUCUGAAAGGAUGGAGUGCCUUCGGGAGCGUGGAGACAGGUGGUGCAUGGUUGUCGUCAGCUCGUGUCGUGAGAUGUUGGGUUAAGUCCCGCAACGAGCGCAACCCUUGCUAUUAGUUGCUAACAGGUGAAGCUGAGCACUCUAAUGGGACUGCCGGUGACAAGCCGGAGGAAGGUGGGGAUGACGUCAAAUCAUCAUGCCCUUUAUGACCUGGGCUACACACGUGCUACAAUGGAUGGUACAGAGAGCAGCGAGGCAGCGAUGUGGAGCGAAUCUCAAAAAGCCAUUCUCAGUUCGGAUUGGAGUCUGCAACUCGACUCCAUGAAGUCGGAAUCGCUAGUAAUCGCGAAUCAGCAUGUCGCGGUGAAUGCGUUCCCGGGUCUUGUACACACCG
rnacentral:rRNA from 1 species